rnacentral:tRNA from 1 species
GCCGAUGUGGUGGAACUGGUAGACACGCUAUCUUGAGGGGGUAGUAGCGAGAGCUGUGCCGGUUCGACUCCGGCCAUCGGCACCA